CCUACGGGGGGCAGCAGUGAGGAAUAUUGGUCAAUGGGCGCGAGCCUGAACCAGCCAAGUAGCGUGAAGGAUGACUGCCCUACGGGUUGUAAACUUCUUUUAUAAAGGAAUAAAGUGAGGCACGUGUGCCUUUUUGUAUGUACUUUAUGAAUAAGGAUCGGCUAACUCCGUGCCAGCAGCCGCGGUAAUACGGAGGAUCCGAGCGUUAUCCGGAUUUAUUGGGUUUAAAGGGUGCGUAGAUGGGUUGUUAAGUCAGUUGUGAAAGUUUGCGGCUCAACCGUAAAAUUGCAAUUGAUACUGGCAGACUUGAGUACAGUUGAGGGAGGCGGAAUUCGUGGUGUAGCGGUGAAAUGCUUAGAUAUCACGAAGAACUCCGAUUGCGCAGGCAGCUUGCUAAUCCGCAACUGACGCUGAUGCACGAAAGCGUGGGUAGCGAACAGGAUUAGAUACCCUAGUAGUC
rnacentral:rRNA from 1 species